rnacentral:rRNA from 1 species
UACGGAGGGGGGCUAGCGUUGUUCGGAAUUACUGGGCGUAAAGCGCACGUAGGCGGCUUUUUUAAGUCAGAGGUGAAAAGCCCGGGGCUCAACUCCGGAAUUGCCUUUGAGACUGGGAGGCUUGAUCGUCGGAGAGGUGAGUGGAAUUCCGAGUGUAGAGGUGAAAUUCGUAGAUAUUCGCAAGAACACCAGUGGCGAAGGCGGCUCACUGGCCCGAUACUGACGCUGAGGUGCGAAAGCGUGGGGAGCAAACAGG